UAUUACCAAUCAGAGUGGGAAAAUUAGGUUGCGUUCAGGGAGGCUGGGAAGUCCGACCCUUAUCAGACGGAUCAUUACAGAUACUGUUGUGCCAUUUA